rnacentral:tRNA from 1 species
ACCUGGCUGGCUCAGUCGGAAGAGCGUGUGGCUCUUUAUCUCAGGGUCGUGAGUUCAAGCCCCAUGUUGGGUG